rfam:Oryza sativa (indica cultivar-group) chromosome 1, whole genome shotgun sequence.
AAAAAGGCAAACCCUGGGUUUCCGUGUCCAACUUUGACUGUCCGUCUUAUAUGAAAUUUUUUUUAUAAUUCGUAUUUUCAUUGUUGUUAGAUGAUAAAACAUUAUUAAUAUUUUAUACGUGACUUGUCUUUUUAAUUUUUUUCAUAAUUUUUUCAAAUAAAACGUACGGUCAAACGGUGGACACGGAAACCAGGGUUUGUCUUUUU